rnacentral:rRNA from 1 species
UACGUAGGAUGCAAGCGUUGUCCGGAUUUAUUGGGAUUAAAGGGUGCGUAGGCGGUUCAUUAAGUUAGUGGUGAAAACUUUCGGCUUAACCGGAUACCCGCCAUUGAUACUGAUAGACUUGAGUGCGACAGAGGGUGUUGGAAUGUGUGGUGUAGCGGUGAAAUGCUUAGAUAUCACGCAGAACACCAAUUGCGAAGGCAGCUGCCUAUGUCGUAAUUGACGCUGAGGCACGAAAGCGUGGGGAGCAAACAGG